GAUCAAACGCACAUCUCCUGCACUGGCAAAUGGAUUCUUUACCACUGAGCCACCAUUGACUGAAUAAUAUUAAUUUUAGUUAAUUUAAAUGUAAAUAACCCUGUGUGGCUGGUGGCUUCUGUACUGGACAUCCAGGAACCUCUGCACCCUCUCUGGGCCAGUGAAGAAACAGAACCUCCUAUUGUCUGCUGGCACCUAAGCGGACCCUAGGAGAGAGGGGAAGGAGCCUGGAGGAUGAAGAGGCUGAGAAGGUGCCCCAGGUUCCCUAAAGGAGCCCAAAGCUGUGGCUGAUGCCUGACAUGCUUGGUGUGUUUUGUAAGUUAACUUGUUCCAUCCUCACAGCAUCAUUUGACAUGGGUCUGACUUGCCAUCAUCCCUAUUUUAUAGAGGGCAAGACUGGGACUCAGAGGGAUUAAAUCACUUGUCCAAGGUCACACAGCUGGUAAGUGAGAAGAGGUGGGUCUAUAAACUUGGGUCUGGUCCCUUCCCAGCGCCCAGGAUCUUCACCCCUAGACCACACAGUGUUUUGACCCUGAUCCUGGGGGCUGCUGCCCAGGUGAAGGCAGAUCCAGGACCCCAGCUGCCCCUGCGUACCUUGAGGCAGGGCUUUCGGCGCCAUCACCCCACAUCAGCCCUCCGGAGCCAAGGGCCUGGGACCUGGGUGUGGGAGUCAGGGCAGGGCAGCCAACGGGACACCCCAGAAGAGGGUUAAGGAGGAGUGGCUGCCAUCGGCUCCCCAUUGCUUAUCAACGGGUAACCAGACCUGUCGGGGCUCCAGUGCCUUUUCAAGCCCCCCACUAUUAAUUGAUCUGGGAAGGUGACUCUGUUAAUUGCAGACCUAGAGUAAACAGGGUUGGGGUGAAUGGGGCUGAUAGCAGAUAGCUUUCUGGCUGUGCUGCCCUUUGCCCUUUGUGGCAGGGGCAGUGGGAAGAGGCAGGGAGUGAAUUGGAAGGAAUUGUCCUAGGAAUGUCUUUGGAGUCGGGGAGGGAAGAUUGUUUUCUUGGGACCCCAAAGGAUCAAUCUAUAUGUCCUUCUGGAAAGAAACCCUUCUGCUGGGCUCCCCGUUUGCUGUACUCUGUCAAAAGGCUGGGGGCCAUCAAAGGGCUCUGAUGUUCAUCUCUUUCCAUCUCUCCCCUUGUCCGUCCAUCCAUUUUUUUUAUCCUUCUCUUUCAAUAUCUUUCCAUCCUUCCUUUCUUCAUUCAUCCACUCUCCCCAUUAUCCAUCCAUCUGUUUUUCUUUCCUUUCUCUCAUUUCAUUCAUCCAUUCUUCCCUUAUUCUGUCUGUUCAUCUGAAAGUCCCUUCUUCCCACCCCCGAUCCCUCACUCAUCUUCAUAUACUUCCUUCUUCCUAGGAAGUGAUCAUGUGUUUCUUGAGAAAUCUAGGGAGGAGGUUGGGGGCAGCCCUUUGAGCCCCUGGACUUCUGAGUCUGCCCGUGCGUGGCCCUGGUGGAGUUAGCUGCCUGACUUCAGCGUAACCAGUGGAGUUAUGCUGGUCACAGCUGAGUGUUAGAUGAGGUCUGUCUUUCCUUGAGGGAGGGCAGAAUCUCCUUCCUUCAGCCUAGGGACCACAUGACUGAUUCUGCAAGGGGGGACACUUGGAGAGUGAAAGGGGGUGCUGCUAACAGUCGCACUUGGGCAAUGGAGUAAGUAACCUGAAACUGACCUGGGCUAGCAGAACAUCUGGUCCACCUCCCUUAGUCCUAGCUGGAGGGCCUGUGACUCAAACAACCUUUCUCUCCCAAAGCUGAGCCUGGAUUUGGGGUUGAGUCUGUCAGUAGCAACUAAUAUCAGCAUGAACCUCUUGGUCAGAGUUUGGUGUCUGACUGCCUCUGGGAACCCGCACUCAUUGUGACAUGGAACAGUCCUGGCAGGUUUUCCAGAAGCUGUUACAUGUUAACAACACCGCGUGGUGGGCAGUGCAGAUAUUAUCAUACCCCUUUUACAAAUGAGAAAAAUGAGGCUGAGUUUGAAGGGGUUUUCUGAAGCCUCACAGAUGGAUAAAUAAAUCCCUCAACCCACUCCUGGUCAUUCUAAAUAAUGUCGGACCUAUAACCUGGUUUCUAACCCCAAACCUGUUCCCAUUUUAAAGAUAAGACACCUGAGGCUGGAGUGGGGAGGUGAGUUUCUCAUUAAUCCAUAGGCUGUGCGUUGGUGGAGACUUUGGCAGCUCAACCCCAGGGCAGGCAUGGCCCCCAAGAGGUUACAACAGCACGAUGUAACAGGGACUACCGUUGAUUAAGUCCCUAUUGAUUGCCAGGCCCUGUCCUGGGUGCUCUGCACAUUUCCCAGGGACCCAGCCAGUUUGGGUGGGCGAGCAAGAUGGCGGUCCCCUUUCCUUCCGCUCCCCGCCCUCCUGCAGAACUCUUGGGUUGAUCUGGGGGCAGGACGUGUCCUCUCAGGGCCCUGCCACCACCCAUUAAUCCCUAACUGCUGCAGCUGGGAGAUAAGAUAGCUCCAGCCCAUUAAUCAAGGCUGCCUGGCAGGGAGGGUGGGGGUGGGGUGAACACCACAACCUCACAGGUGGAGAUAAGCCCCCUCCUCCUGUCUUCCUCUGGGGCUGGGGCUAGUGGAGGAUGCUGGGAAGUUUCAAUCCCCAGUACCUGGGUGGGUGGGUGGAGCCUACAUGGGUACCUGGGUAGGGGGUGGGGGGCGGUGGCCCUGAAAGCCAGCCUGAGGGUGCACCUGGGUUGAGAGGAGCCAGGAGAUUGGGCUCCGGCCUCUGUGCUCCCUCUGCCGCGUCUGUCUUUAGAUAAGCAUCACAUCUCUCUGGGACUGUCUCUGCAUCUGAACGAAUGCGAGGGGGCUGGACUGGAUGACCUGGAGGGAGGGACCUUUCACCAUGAAUGUGCUGGGGUCUGGACCUUCCUCAAUGCAGAUUGUCUGUGACUACAGUGAUAAGGGAGGAGACUGGGGCAACUCAACCCCAAAGCAAAUGCUGGUCCAAGGAUGCUGAUUACAAAGUGUCUUAGUUGUGUUUUUAUUCUAAUAAACAUCAAACUUAAAGCAGCAAA